rnacentral:rRNA from 1 species
UACAGAGGUCUCAAGCGUUUGUUCGGAUUCAUUGGGCGUAAAGGGUGCGUAGGCGGCGCCGUAAGUCGGGUGUGAAAUUUCGGAGCUUAACUCCGAAACUGCAUUCGAUACUGCGGUGCUUGAGGACUGGAGAGGAGGCUGGAAUUCAUGGUGUAGCAGUGAAAUGCGUAGAGAUCAUGAGGAAGACCAGUGGCGAAGGCGGGUCUCUGGACAGUUCCUGACACUGAGACACGAAGGCCAGGGGAGCAAAACGGG